UACAGAGGGUGCAAGCGUUAAUCGGAAUUACUGGGCGUAAAGCGUGCGUAGACGGUUAUGUAAGUCGGAUGUGAAAGCCCCGGGCUCAACCUGGGAAUUGCAUUCGAGACUGCAUGGCUAGGGUGCGGAAGAGGGAAGCGGAAUUUCCGGUGUAGCGGUGAAAUGCGUAGAUAUCGGAAGGAACAUCAGUGGCGAAAGCGGCUUCCUGGUCCAGCACCGACGUUCAGGCACGAAAGCGUGGGGAGCAAACAGG
rnacentral:rRNA from 1 species